rnacentral:rRNA from 1 species
UCAAGCUACAAAGGGCAUAUGGUGGAUGCCUUGGCGCCAUGAGCCGAAGAAGGACGCGAUAAGCUGCGAUAAGCCGCGGGGAACUGCAAAUAAGUAUAGAUCCGCGGAUUUCCGAAUGGGGAAACCCGGCAGUCGUAAUGGGCUGUCACCCGAGAGGGAGGGAACCCGGUGAACUGAAACAUCUAAGUAACCGGAGGAAGAGAAAUCAAACGAGAUGCCCGUAGUAGCGGCGAGCGAAGGGGGCAUAGCCCAAACCGUGGGCCUUCGGGCCUGCGGGGUUGCGGACCGGCGUAAACGGACGAGUUGCUAGUAGAAUUACCUGGAAAGGUAAGCGAGAGAGGGUAAAAGCCCCGUAUACGAAAGCGACGAGGACGCGGCCGGGAUCCAGAGUACCACGGAGCACGAGGAAUUCUGUGGGAAGCAGGGGGGACCACCCUCCAAGGCUAAACACUCCAUGGCGACCGAUAGCGCAGAGUACCAUGAGGGAAAGGUGAAAAGAACCCCGGGAGGGGAGUGAAAGAGAACCUGAAACCGUAUGUCUACAAGCAGUCGGAGCGAAAGCGACGGCGUGCCUAUUGAAGAAUGAGCCAACGAGUUACGUGCGCCAGCGAGGUUAAGCAGAAGAUGCGGAGCCGCAGGGAAACCGAGUCUGAAGAGGGCGAAGAGUUGGUGUACGUAGACCCGAAACUGCAGUGAUCUACGCAUGGCCAGAUUGAAACGCAGGUAAAAUUGCGCGGAGGAUCGAACCGGGACAUGUUGAAAAAUGUUCGGAUGAGCUGUGCGUAGGGGUGAAAUUCCAAUCGAACGCAGAGAUAGCUGGUUCUCCUCGAAAUAGCUUUAGGGCUAGCCUCAGGCAGUAAGCGCAGGCGGUAGAGCACUGAUCGGGAUAGGGGCCGUAAUGGCUACCGAACCCUGUCAAACUCCGAAUGGCAGCGCUGCAGAGCCUGGGAGUCAGACUACGAGUGAUAAGAUCCGUGGUCAAAAGGGAAACAGCCCAGACCAUCAGCUAAGGUCCCCAAUGCCGUACUAAGUGGAAAAGGAUGUGGGGUUUCAUAAACAACCAGGAUGUUGGCUCAGAAGCAGCCACCAUUUAAAGAGUGCGUAAUAGCUCACUGGUCGAGAGACCCUGCGCCGAAGAUUCCCGGGGCUAAAGUACGGAACCGAAGCUAUGGAUGCAUCCCUCGGGAUGCGUGGUAGAGGAGCGUUCCCAUCGGGCAGAAGUCGUUCUGGAAGGAACGGUGGACUGGUGGGAAGUGAGAAUGUUGGCAUGAGUAGCGAAAAGAAUGGUGAGAAUCCAUUCCACCGAAAACACAAGGAUUCCUGAGCAACGAUCGUCGUCUCAGGGUAAGUCGGGACCUAAUCCGAGGCAUGGAGCGUAGGAGAUGGACAUCCGGUUGAAAUUCCGGAACCGGCAGGAAUCGUCAAGAGCAAGGGAGUGACACAGGAAGGCAGGCGCGCAUGAGAUUGGAAGUUCAUGUGCAAGCGUGCGACGCGCGGGACAGGCAAACCCAUCCCGCACAAGCGCCAGGCGUGACGCGGAGGGAACCGGAAGGGACCCGAAGGCGCUGGGCCUACACUGUCGAGAAAAGCUUCUAGCAAGAGACCUGCCGCCCGUACCGUAAACCGACACAGGUGUGUGGGGAGAGAAUCCUAAGGUGCGCGGGAGAACCCUCGUUAAGGAACUCGGCAAAAUGUACCCGUAACUUCGGGAUAAGGGUAGCCGUCGGGCGUGAAGGGACCAGCUCCUGGAGCGCUGGAUGGCCGCAGAGAAGAGGCCCAAGCGACUGUUUACCAAAAACUUAGGUGCCUGCCAAAGCGAAAGCUGACGUAUAGGUGCUGACACCUGCCCAGUGCCGGAAGGUUAAGGAAGGAGGUCCGGGUUCGACCCAAAGCCUUCGACCGAAGCCCCGGUGAACGGCGGCCGUAACUAUAACGGGCCUAAGGUAGCGAAAUUCCUUGUCGGGUAAGUUCCGACCCGCACGAAAGGUGUAACGAUUUGGGCGCUGUCUCAACGAGGGACCCGGUGAAAUUGAAAUACCUGUGAAGAUGCAGGUUACCCGCGACUGGACAGAAAGACCCCAUGGAGCUUUACUGUAACCUGACAUUGGGUUCUGAUACUGCAUGCACAGGAUAGGUGGGAGGCACGGAAGCCCUUCCUUUGGGGAGGGCAGAGCCGCCGUUGGGAUACCACCCUUGCGAUAUCGGAAUUCUAACCGUAGCGGUAACGACGCUCGGGACAGUGUCAGGCGGGCAGUUUGACUGGGG